rnacentral:rRNA from 1 species
AUGCACGCAACAAAUGUGGCAAAUGAUGAUUACAUGUAUGCGUCACAAGAAUAUGAAACCCAAUAUGACGAUGACAAUCUUGAUGUGGACGAUGAGGGCUUUGUUGUCAAGGGAAGAAGUGGAAAUUAUACCACCGCGAAGGAUGUGUUGAUAUGCACCGCUUGGAAGAAAAUCUCUCAAGAUGCAAGCGUUGGAAGCGACCAAACGGUGAACACCUAUUGGCAACGCAUCAAGGAGUAUUUCGAUGAGCGCAACACAAGUGGUCACUUCCGUUCGAGCGACUCUCUACGCCAACGUUGGUCCACCAUCAACGCCGAAUGCCAAAAGUGGGCCGGUUGCUUGUCAAACGUUGCUCGCAUGAACCCAAGUGGUUGCGGUGAUAGUGAUCUGAAAAUGAUUGCACAAGGAUUGUUUUGA